rnacentral:rRNA from 1 species
UACGUAGGGUGCAAGCGUUGUCCGGAAUUAUUGGGCGUAAAGAGCUCGUAGGCGGUCUGUCGCGUCGGCUGUGAAAACCCGGGGCUCAACCCCGGGCCUGCAGUGGGUACGGGCAGACUAGAGUGCGGUAGGGGAGACUGGAAUUCCUGGUGUAGCGGUGAAAUGCGCAGAUAUCAGGAGGAACACCGGUGGCGAAGGCGCCGCUCUGGGCCGACACUGACGCUGAGGAGCGAAAGCGUGGGUAGCAAACAGG